rnacentral:tRNA from 1 species
AGCUCAGUGGUAGAACAUUUGUCUGGUAUGCAUAAAGCUCUGGGUUUGAGUCCCAG